UAAACACAUAAAGCAAGUGAGAGGCUGAACUCGAACCUAAAUCCUCCUCUUCUGGUUACAGGUCCGGGGCUCUGCCUGGUUUUCCAUUACUACCUCUCUUGGUAGAAGCUUUUGGUAAGCUGUGACCUUCUAAGCAAGCUCGCUGUGGGAGUCCUAUAUGUCUCCUGUCUUCCCUGGUGGAUGGUGGCUACACCAGGGCCAUCCCAGGAGAAGCCGGCCUCUUCAUGCCUCUCUACAAAUAGAAGGAAUUUGGAAUUUCUGGCAGAAACUUCCCACGUGUGAGAGUGUUCAUGCCCAUGGCAGCCAGGGGACUCCAGCAGGUGUCUGUCCUUCUUGGUUCUUCACCUGUAUUUUCAGCUUCCCUCCCUGAACCAGAAGCUCACCAAUUUAGUUAGACUGAUGGGUCACUGAGCUUUGGGGAUCUGUCGUCUCAGCACACCUUCCGGUCCCCAUGUGGAGAAUGCUACUGUGUGGGCUGUGUGGGGGCUCCGGGGAGCCAGACUCAGCUCUUCAGGCCUGCACUGCAGAGCGCCUGGGUGCUUUGAGGGUGCUCCAGCCACCAUGCGGAGACGGCUCUUUCCAUCCCUUGUCUCACUUCAAGCAAAUCACUAGGAGGUUGGGCCCCCUCCUUUAAAAAUACUGAUGUUUUGGCAGGAAACACACACACACACACACACACACACAACUAUUUCUAUGUAAUUUCUCAAUUCGCUUUUGGUUCUUAUUCUGGCAGGCAUUUUAAGAUCAGUAAUGUCAGAAAUGUGCUGUCAAAGCAGCCGAAGCGCUGUAACCUGAUACUGUGAAGGUUUACAUCUCUGCCAGGCAGUGUAGCAACUUCAGUGGUUACAGAAAGUAUUGACCUGGGCUGGAGGUAUAAGCAGUGGUAGGCUUGUUUCAGUCCCUGGCAGAGAAGAGAAGGAAGGAGGGAGGGAGGGAGGAAGGAAGGGAGCCAAAGCCUGCAUUUCUGACCAUGCAAUCUCUGUCCUUAAGCAGUGCAUACACAUCGAAUCGUUGGAUGCAAUCUAAUUGCUGACCCCAUUUUGUAAACACGUAUACACAACUGUGCAACACGCGUGCAGUCACAAGGUGAAAGUUUCCCUCUACAAACAGCCACUUUUUCCUCCGGGAGAGAACUAGUUAGGUAGCAUGACUCUUCGUCAUUUAAUGAGGUAGAGCCACACCAAAGCAAUCUCACGUACCUGAGAGUUCCCGGGGUGGGCCCUUUCUCUAAUUUCCAACCGUGCAUCAUUGUCUCAGCAAACCGUGCACUGGGGCAAGUUUUGCAGGAGCUAUCACUUAACCAGACCACCGGGGAGCUGGGCUGCACUCCCAGCACCGAGGCAGUAGGAUUGUGAGUUCAAGACCAGCCAAGCCUACACUGUAAAUUCAAGGUAUGCCUGGGCUAUCCACACAUCCCAACCUUAUUCUCUGUUCCCUAUUCAAAGUGUAGCCAAAGUACUGUUGUCCUCAUCAUGCACGCCCUCUGGAGCCCAUAUCCUGUCUUGAAGGAAGAACAGCACGCUGAGUACUCUUGGGCUUGCCAGUGGGAACUGACUUACUAAUCUCACCUCAGAGGAAUAGCAUUUGUGCAGUCUGCCCAGAGAUUCUGAAAGUCUCAGGCCUGCGCCAGAGCAGGUGCCGGCACUGGGCCUUUCCCUAAACUUCCUCCCCACUGACUUGGUGCUCUUCCCUGACCUGUCCCUUCCCAGUGGCCCGAGCUCAGGGGUACACUCAAGCUCCUCUUGCAUCCCGCUGCUGUGGCAGAGGACAACAGUGAGGAACAGUCUCAGGUCCGGGCUCCCUUGAUUAUCUGCCCAGUGCGAGGCUGGAUGCAAUGUGUGAUCUUCCACUGCUGAUCUGAGCUGCAUGCCCAGGAGCAGUUUCUCAAGCAUGCACCGUUUAAGUGGAUGGAGCCUCUUUCAAUCACGUGUGUUGCCGGAUGCUACAGAAAUGCCAAGUAACAUCAAUCAUCUCUCAAAAAGCAUGUUGUUACUGGUUUGCCUGGAGGGAGCAUUCUCAGGCUCCUGUUGCAGUCCAGACAAGACUCACAGUUUUGUUUGGCCUUGGUUUCGCCUGUAUUCCACCUAGAGCUGGUGCAGCUAAAAGUUUACAAUAAAGCAGAUCUGGAUGGGGUCAGAGUUUGAAGAAGCUAAAAGCCAGUAGUUGCAAUAGGCACAGACCGUUAUGUAUCUCCAGAAACAAAUAGUUUCAAAUAAAACUUCUAAUGCAAUAUGAAAAAACACAGUACAUUAGCCAUGGUAGGAAGAGUCAUUAUAAUAUUAAAAGUUUGUACUGAAACACUAA